rnacentral:rRNA from 1 species
AUUGAACGCUGGCGGCAGGCCUAACACAUGCAAGUCGAGCGAGCGGCGGACGGGUGAGUAAUGUAUGGGGACUGCCCGAUAGAGGGGGAUAACUACUGGAAAAGGUAGCGAAUACCGCAUACAAUAGGAUAACCCAUAUGGGAUUAGCUAGUAGGUGAGGUAAUGGCUCACCUAGGCGACGAUCCCUAGCUGGUCUGAGAGGAUGAGCAGCCACACUGGGACUGAGACACGGCCCAGACUCCUACGGAGGCAGCAGUGGGGAAUAUUGCGCAAUGGGCGCAAGCCUGAUGCAGCCAUGCCGCGUGUAUGAAGAAGGCCCUAGGGUUGUAAAGUGCUUUCAGUCGGGAGGCGUUACCGACAGAAGAAGCACCGGCUAACUCCGUGCCAGCAGCCGCGGUAAUUC